AACAUCGCGCACCUGCGGGAACCUGCGGAGGGAUCAUUACCGUGUCGUGGGAGACACUCUGGCACGCCAGCACGCACGCUGCCCUGCCCAAGCGCGCGCGCAGCUGCUCCCCCAUGCCCGCAUGGGGGGCGUCAUCCUUGCAUUCAGUACUAGUAUUGCCCCGCAAUAUCAAGCACCGAGGAAAAAAAAGACAAAUCAAACAUGCAAGCAGAAAAAUAGAAAAAAGACGCAAAAAAGCAA
rnacentral:misc_RNA from 1 species